CUAGUCGUGGCCUAGUGGAUAGGGUGGUUGACUGGAGAUCAAAAGGUCGCUGGUUCGAUCCCCAGCCCCACUAGG
rnacentral:tRNA from 1 species